AGAAACAUUUAUUUAAUCAAUUUUAGAAUAAGCUGUAAUGUAACAAAAUGUGGAAAAAGUCAAGUGGUUUGAAUGCUCUCUGAAUGCACUGUAUAGCUUGGGAUGUAAGUCUAUAUUUUGGGAUGUAGGUUUAUAUUAUUGGUUGUACACUAGAUAAUGGAAUUCUGAUCUGUUGCUGGCUAUUACUGGAGGGACAUCUUUACUUUAAUUAUUUAAUUAUCUCCCCCUCCUCUCAGCUGUUCCUUGCAGGGCCACGCUGACUGAGUUAGUGCCUGUGCUGUUAUGGGUUCAUUGGCCUGGUAUGUGGCAGGAAUCUUUGGAUCAAGAGGUCCAGAGUUUUGGGAGGGAGGCCGGGCAGGCGGAGCUGUCGUUUGUCUUUAUCAGAUACAAUGAAGAUAAGAAGGUCCUGCUCUCAUGUACCAUCUGUUUCUGCUGGAGACCUCCGGGGCCCUAACCUAACCACACACACUGCAUGAAGAUGGUGCCCUUACCCACUGUGUAUGUGUGUGUGUGCGUGCGUGCGUGCGUGCGUGCGCGUGUGUGUGUGUGCUUGCGUGCGUGUGUG